rnacentral:rRNA from 1 species
CUCCGUCGAGCCGUAUGCGGCAUUAGAGGUGGGGGCAUGCGGGAUAUGUCGCAGGUUGCGCCUCCGUCGGUGGUUUGGUCAUAGCUGUUCUGCAGUUUUGGGAUCCGGCCGCUGCGCAAGGGGAGAGAGCGGCGGCCUAAGGGGAGGCGGGCGCGCAGAGCGCCUGCAGAAGCGCGAGAGGCCGACGAGAGGGGCCAAGCGGGUGGUGGUCGUUACAGAAGAGUCUACCUAUUGGCGUAGGUCAGGCGACCUUUCGCGCGCGCGUGUCUGCCAUCGGCCGCACUCCUGCUGACCUAAACGGGGUCGACGUUGUUGCAGUUGAAGCGCAAGGCGUGGUGGACGUUGUACGCGUUGACGCUGGUCAGGUCCGGGCGACUAGUGUGCUUCCGAUACGUCUGAGGUGGGGUGAUGAGCCACGGCCCCGCCAUGUACGGCGGCCCCUGCGGAGGCAGGUACAUGGAGUGACCCCGAGGAGGGGGCAUACCGAGGUUGGAAAUAUUACCCGUAGGGUACGGUGCGAUACCGUAAGGAGUCGAGGGGGGCCCGAGACCUAUAGGCAUACCGAUACCACCCGCUCAGGGCUACCCCUCGGGGAUACCCGGUUACGUAUACCGCCGCGGUGGGGGCAUAAGAUCACCAAGAUACCAACCACGUCCACCUUACAUGUCGUAGUCGUACGGGUACCUAUCUAUACCGAACCCGAGUGGGCGACCAGGACCCCGUUACCCGUGUUCCCGACCAAGGAUAAGACUGCUUCCGAGUGUCUUCUUUAGACGACCUCGACCUGCACUAUUACUAACCUUCACAGGAUUAACGUUGUUGUAAUUGAAGCGGAAAGCCUGUCAGACAUUGUACUCUUUUACGUUGUGUGGUUCUGGACUGUGGGUCCCUAGGUUUGGACUGUCAAGUUCUCGAGGUUUUGGUUUCUGAGGUCUCCCAUCGACCUUCACACUUUUCACGUUAUUGUAUUUGAUAGGAAAGGCCUGUUUUACGUUGGCAGGUUCAACACCCCUUCUUUUCGGCAACGUCCGUUUGUCAGGACUAUUAGACCGAUGUCUAGUCCUGUUAGUCAAAAACAGUACAUUAUACCCCUUCGAAAAUAGUUUCGACGUUGAAAGUGUACUGAAACUUCUGUCGUCACAGGAUUAGCUCUUCCUACGAGGGCCGGUGCGACGACCUGAUGGCCAUGGCUGUUCAAGCGUACGGGACGCUUACCGUCGAGAGUCACUCGACGUUGUGUCAAAUAUUCUACUGUUCAUUGGUAAAGUAAAAAGAAACUUUAGCAAACAUGACACACCUGGGAAGUUUGAGACAUAGUUCGUUCGUUAGCUGCCACAACGAGUGGCGGUAGAACCAUGCCUGAACCUAAUUUUCGAACCAAAUCUAAACAAACCUCACGUAUAAAAUGAAAACAAGAGUAAGAAUGCUAAAAGAAUAUUAACAUAUUAACUCCUAACCAACCGAAACUACUAAACAAUAUACAAACAAACUCAGACUAUAUUUG